rnacentral:rRNA from 1 species
GCGGGGGUCCUUGAGUUGUAGGGCUUUGCCUGCUAUCUCUUACCCAUGUCUUUUAAGUACCUUACGUUUCCUCGGCGGGUCCGCCCGCCGAUUGGACAAUUUAAACCAUUUGCAGUUGCAAUCAGCGUCUGAAAAAACUUAAUAGUUACAACUUUCAACAACGGAUCUCUUGGUUCUGGCAUCGAUGAAGAACGCAGCGAAAUGCGAUAAGUAGUGUGAAUUGCAGAAUUCAGUGAAUCAUCGAAUCUUUGAACGCACAUUGCGCCCCUUGGUAUUCCAUGGGGCAUGCCUGUUCGAGCGUCAUUUGUACCUUCAAGCUCUGCUUGGUGUUGGGUGUUUGUCUCGCCUCUGCGUGUAGACUCGCCUCAAAACAAUUGGCAGCCGGCGUAUUGAUUUCGGAGCGCAGUACAUCUCGCGCUUUGCACUCAUAACGACGACGUCCAAAAGUACAUUUUUACACUCUUGACCUCGGAUCAGGUAGGGAUACCCGCUGAACUUAAGCAUAUCAAAACC